GAUGAACGCUGGCGGCGUGCUUAACACAUGCAAGUCGAGCGGUCAGGCCCCUUCGGGGGUACACGAGCGGCGAACGGGUGCGUAACACGUGCGCAAUCUGCCCAUCACAUCGGGAUAACUCCGGGAAACCGAAGCUAAUACCGAUAACGACCACCUCCGUCAUCGGCAGGUGGUGGAAAGUUCCGGCGGUGUUGGUUAGGCUCGUGGCCUAUCAGCUUGUUGGUUAGGUAAUGGCUCACCAAGCCUUCGACGGGUAGCCGGCCUGGGAGGGUGACCGGCCACACUGGGACUGAGAGACGGCCCAGACGCCUACGGGAGGCAGCAGUGGGGAAUAUGGCGCAAUGGGCGAAAGCCUGAUCCAGCGGCGCCGCGUGAGGGAUGACGGCCUUCGGGUUAUAAACCUCUGUCAGCAGGGACGAAGCGCAAGUGACGGUACCUGCAGAGGAAGCACCGGCCAACUACGUG
rnacentral:rRNA from 1 species